rnacentral:lncRNA from 1 species
UCCCCCCCAUAAAUUUUAUGCAAAUAAUUUCAAUUUCGUAAAUCUAUAUUAGACUCCAAUUUGUCCAAAUACACAAACAGAGCUUUAAAACUCUAUCAAUGAACUUCUAACCACAUAUUACACCAUCAGAUUUUCAUUUGUUAAAUUUAGAACCAUGCCAUUUGAAUUAAUGAGACUCAUUUAAUAGAUUCUCUACACACUCCCUUUAGCCUUGUUUCUUCUCUCAUAGACUUUCUUGAUAGGGGUGCAUCCUAACAUAGUAACAUUGGAUUAUGUCAUGUUAAGUUCACACAUAGAGAAUGUUGUUUUUUGUAAUUUGAAAAUUACGACGGAGUUUUGAAACUAUUAUCGGGGUGAGUCACGAUCAGGUCGCUUUCUUUAAGACGUUUCGCGGCACUACCUAAGUUGUGCAACGUAGAUUAGCAACCGCGCCGUCUCCAGGAUAAAACAGCCCAGAUUCUUACUGUACGAUUAAAGGCUGCACUGCCAGAAAUCGCUCGAGAAUAACACCUCAGUAUGGUUUCGAAAAGUUUCGAAAAACCACUCUAAUAUGGCACGCAGACCACUCGAGAAACCAAAGAGGGAGGAAGAAAAGAACGGUUCGUCAACACAAACCGAGGGAGAUGAGAAGGGGAGAAAACCAGAGAAGAGGAUUCGAUUCUCGGUUUUGGAGUGAAGAAUCCCAUUCCCGAGCUCUCUAUUUAUAGAGGGGAAUUUUCCUCGUUUUCUCCGCCGACCCGGUUCGCGACCCGCCAAACCCAGCCCGCCCGGUCGGACGGACGGCGUCGUCGCCGCGCGCGCAUGUGGCUUAUAUAAUUUUUGGCUAGUGCUCACUCCGUUCACAAAAGUGGGUACCCCAAGGGCACACCCUUGGAAGUGAUUUCCCACAUAUAUAAACACUACUAGAGUGUGUUAUCUACCCAAUGUGGGACAUAAAAUUUUCAAUUCACACUUUACACUAGUUUCUACAUCAUUGUGUUUACAUUCCAAUGUCUCCUCAUAACAACUAGUAUACUCCAAGUUUUUGCCAAUAUACACUAGUGUUCCAACAGAGAAGCAAAAGGAUAUAAUGAAUUGUCCAGGAAAAUAUGAAAUCUAUAAUUUCAAAAGAGCUCCCAUAUCUUUAUGUGUAUAUGCAACAACUUUGAUUAAAAAACAUAAAUAUGAACAGGUAAAUAGCAUAGCUUCUCUUACACAACUAAUAAAAAAAUAGCUCUCAACAUCCCGUGAGCGUAGCUCAGUUGAUAUGGACAUCACAUUAUGUUUGAACCCUGGAUUACCCAUUUAUUUACCUUAAUGUUGUGUUUGGUUCCAAGGAAAGAAAGAUGGAUGGAAUGGAAAGAGAGUGGAAUGAUGCCCUUUCCACCGUUUGGAACACCUACAAAGCUAAGGAAAACAAGUUUCUUGUGUGGGUCCCACGUUAGAAUUGUUUAUGUGCUAAAGAGAUGAGAAAGUGAGAGGAUGCCACUAUUUAUAUUGCAUUUACAAAAAUACCCUCCAGUCUUGUGUAUUUUUACAACACAUAUUUCAAUUUUUUUCUUUUAUUUUGAACCAUGCUCUCAUAUAUUUUAUUAUUUUCAAUACUUAUACACAUUUCUUAGCAUGCUCAAAUUAAAACUCUUGAUAGUCAUUUUUUUUUGAUCAAUUUUAAUAGUGUUUAUAUCAAAAUUAUUUAAAUGUAUUUUUAUUGAAAAUUAUUUAAAUAACACAAUAACAUAGGGUUAUUUAUGUCAUUUAAUAAAUUCAUUUAUUUAUUUCCUCCCUUACUUUCACUAUAACCAAACAACCAACAAAUCAUCCAACUUUCUACUCACUUCUUACUUUCUUUCCUUUAACCUUAUUUCCUCUAACUUUCUUUCCUUCCACUAUCCAAACAUACCCUAAGGGUUGAAUUUCUAGCCGCUAUGCUAUUUGAUAAAAAAAAAAAUUCUCAACCAAAAAAAACUAAUUAAAAAAUAGAAUAAAAAUUAACAAAUAGUAAUACACAAAAUUGCCGUAGAAAAGUGACGCCUUCAACAAAGUCGGAGCAAAACACUUAUAACAACGACAAAUACAGAAUAGGAAAUGAAAAAUAGAAAAAAAUUCAACGGUGCCUUCAACAAAGUAAUUCCUAUCCAUGGUGACCUUUGUUCUAGGAACAAAAUUAGUGGUAAAGAUUUGAUCUUGGCAAAGAGCUCACCGAAGAGAAGAAUCUUGUCGAGUAAUUGUUAUUCAUGGUGAACUUUUUUGUAAUAUACUUCAUUUUUAUAUACGGUUGAGGCAAUCACAAUGGCACUGCAGCAAUCCUUGACAUUAUAUUGCGGACACAAUCAAGGUCGUGAACGAUUUUAAGAACGUAAACCAAAACAUAAUGAAAGAAAAUGAGAGAAAUUAACUAAAAGUUACGUUGGUUGCUGUAUUUGCCGUAUGCAACUCUUCUAUUAUCUGCAAUGUUUUGAAAUUUGAUGCAUUUGCAUUCUUUUUCUAUAUCUACAAUAAUUUGCAUAAAAAUAAUCUUAUUAUGUUUUGCGUCAUUUAUUGAAAUAAUCCUAUUUUUCAUUGUACCUAAUGUUGUUAAUCUUUUGCUUCUUUUUCAAGUGAUAUACACGAUCAGUACCAAGACUUAUUGCAACUUUUUGAAUGUGGUGGCUACCCUCCACAAAUAAACUAUGCGUUUCUUGGUGAUAUCGAGAUUGAAUUCAUCUCUUGAGAGAAAACCAUGAAGUUGCAAAGAUGAACCUUCACCACAAAAAGGGAAGCAAUAUUUGAAGACUCUAUGUUCGCUUUUGACACACAAAAUAAGAUAUUGAGAUAGAAUCUCUCGAGAAAAAACCAUGAAGUUGCAAAGAUGAACCUUCACACAAAAAGAAAGACUUGCAAAAAUAUUUUUGCACAGCUGAACAAAAAAAAGCAUACCUUUACCACCAAAAGAACAUACCCAACAUGCCACAUCUUCAAUGUUACAAUAUUUAUGCUUUUCUCGAUUUAUUGCAGAUAUGUUGUUACCGAGUCAAAGACAAAAGGGGGAAAUGAGAGAAAGAAACA